CCUUCACACUAUCGUCGUAGCUGUGCUGGCUUUGUAAUUUGUUGCACUGAAAUAUUGCACACUUCUGUUCUAAAACCAGCAAGAAUUUGAGUGACGCUAGAAUGGCCUCUGUAAUGAACUGUUUUCAGUUAACUCAAAAUAUGAGUGAAGGUGUUAAGUAUUUCUUUGAGACCCAUGCCCACCUCAAGACCUCCCUCCAGGGGGCCUGUAUUUUCAGUUACUAUCUGUGCCCAGAAAAGUAAGCUGCCAUUCAAGGACAGCAGCCGUGUGGAGCAAGGUAGGGCUGGGCCCCUUGAAAAAAGAAACAAAACUCUCAAACUUCAGGGUGAGUAUAUUCCAAUUCGUAGCUUGCCCAGACCUGAGUUAGAAAAAAGUGAAUAAGCGCAGAAAAAAGAGAUUGUUACUGUGUCACAGCCUUCCAGUGAGACUCAUUUCCCUGUAACCUAUUCAGCUGGGAGGACAAGGCACCCUGGAGGGACGUUGCUCUCCAGAAGGGCCAGGAAGAGAGGAGGAGGGGGGACAGUGCGGUCCUCUGACAGGACGUGAGGCCCCCGGGAAAGGGGUGUGGCUGCACACCUGCGGAGCUGGGAGGGGCAACCCCAUCGCUGCCCCGGUCCUUCCAAUUUCCUACUUCCACGCUUUGUUUCCACCAAUGCCCAGAGCCGGAUGCCUGCACCCUGCCUCUCCCUGCCAUGGGCUCUGUGCUCCUCUGCUGUGUGGCCUUUGGUGUCUUGGGAACAGGCUCCAUGGAUUCUGGUGUGACCCAGACCCCAAGGAACAGGAUCACAAAGACAGGAAUGAGCGUUUCGCUGGAAUGUUCUCAGACUAAGCGUCAUGAUGCUAUGUUCUGGUAUCGAGAGGACCCCGGGCGCGGGCUCCGGCUGGUCUACUACUCCUUGGAUGUCAACGAUACCAACAGAGGAGAGGUCUCCAGCGGGUACAGCGUCUCCCGGUGGGAGCAGGCGAAAUUCUCCCUGCGCCUGGAGACUCCCACCCCCAACCAGACAGCGCUUUACUUCUGUGCCAGCAGUAAAUUGCACAGUGGUUCUUGGCCACCUGCUCUCACCACAGAAAGACAGGCACGUUUCCUCAGGAGGGCACGGAAGGCUUCCUAG